CCCUUAGAUGUUCUGGGCCGCACGCGCGCUACACUGAUGCAUUCAACGAGUCUAAAACCUGCUCUGAUAGGGGUGGGUAAUCUUUUGAAUGGGCAUCGUGAUUGGGAUAGAUGAUUGCAAUUUUUCAUCUUCAACGAGGAAUGCCUAGUAAACGCAAGUCAUCAGCUUGCAUUGAUUACGUCCCUGCCCUUUGUACACACCGCCCGUCGCUCCUACCGAUUGAAUGAUCCGAUGAAUAUCAUGGAUUGAGGAUGCAAGUAGGUUAGCCUAUCUUCAUCUUCGAGAAGUGAAGUAAAUCUUAUCAUUUAGAGGAAGGAGAAGUCGUAACA
rnacentral:rRNA from 1 species